AUCUUUCUUUUUUGAUUAUGAAAUGGACCCUUCAAAAGUGAGGUUAGAGGGUUUCCCCUAUCCUAAACUUCCUGUAUAUAUAGUUCCCUAGCCCUGUAACCAUACAUGCAAGCAAAAAAAAAAAAACCCACAAACUUCUACUUGUUGUUGUGUACUAAAAAAAGAAUGGCAUGUUCAGUAGAUCAUCUUAAGAAAGUUGCGUCAGAAGGGUUUCCCUUGAUAGAUGAGAAAUAUGCCCGGCAGCUAGCCGAGAAGACUCACCGGCGAGCGCCCCUACCGAGAAAUCAGGAUCAUUACCAUCAUCAUCAGAAGUUGGUACCACACCACUAUGUUUAUCAUGGACCUCAAGCUGUCACUGUUGUUCAACAGCCAGUUACUGGCAGCCAUCAUCAAAUCCAGAACAACCAAAACCAUGAAAGAUGGUAUGUCUGUCAAGUCUCCCAAGGUCCUAUAUGCAUCAAUAAGCAGCAAUGACGCAGCUGGAUACUAAGGUGGGAUGCUACUUAAUGAUGUUAUAGGGCCUUGUUGAUUUAUGUAAUAGUAUUCGGUAGAUAGAUGUAGAACUCCGUAGCCUGGUUAGUAACACGCAUGUAUUUUUCGUUAGUGUUUCACCAGAGCUUUUAGCAGCUUGAAAAUAAGCUACGCUUGUGUAAGAUUAUGUAUCUUGUUUUGCUGCUGAAAUCUAUAUACUUAUGUUGAUAUCUUUCUUUUAUUACAAGUUUAUGUUUCAAUCCCAUGUAUUCGUAACUUGGUUUUCAAUUUCAUUACUUAACACAAACGUUGUAUCGAAACUGUGUCACCUAUUAAGGCUCACUGAAUUAAUUAAUAGAAGAAACUAGGUUCGAUUGCUUCUGAGUUUCAUUUUCAUUUGGUAAUGAUUACUAUUGAAAAGAAUCUAAGAAAACUAUUAGAGGAAGACAAAAAGGUGUUGAGAAUCUCACUUUCAACUGAACUAAUCCAAAUGGAAAGUGAAGAACAAAUUUCUAAUCAGCAAACAGUGGAAAAACCCUUUUUUAUUUUUCAAUCUUAACAAUGACUUGGAGUAAAAUUAUACUAUCACAAAAGACAUUACCUUUAAAUCAAUAAACCAGCAAGGAUUUUACUUGUUUGUCUUGUUUGCCUUGUUGGGUAUUUGUGUUUCACCAAAGAACUUGUUCACAACAUCUUAUCAUGUCCAAAUAAGUAGUCUCAUGUUUUACCAUAUGACAAUGUGAAGGAUAGUAUUCCUUGCAGAGGAUGCCAACCAGGGUCCCAUUUUUACGACUAUAUAGGACUCCAAGACUAAAAUCUUUCGAAAUAAUGGGAAAAAUAUCAGCUCUAAAACUUUUUUUUGUUUGUUUAUAAUUUUUAAAAUUAAAACUGCUUUUAUCUUUUUAAAGCUAAAUUUUUAAUUUUUGACUUUUGAAUAUAUACUAAAUUAUUCAUUAAUUGUCCUCAUUUAUAUCGGGCAUGAAAAGUAUAAAAAAAAAUUAUCCUCAUUUAUAUCAUUAAAGGUAAGUUUCUUUUAGUUUUUUUCUUUUUUUGAAAUUUAUGACCAGUAAAGUAAUUUUGAUAUUUAAAAUUAUUUAAAAAUAUUUAAAAUCUAUAUUUAAUCUAUUAGAAUAUUAAUAAUGAAUUACAAUAAAGUGUUAUUAUAUUUUUUAUUAAAAAUUAAGUUGGUAUAUUUAUAUAUUAUAAAACUAACCAAUUGAAAUAUUAUUUAAAUGUGUAAUAUUUUACUUUACAAUAUCAUGCUGAAAAUAAAUAUUUUAUUUUCUUAAAAAGUACUUUUGAUAAUAAUACUAAAUACUUAAAUCAAAAAUUUCAUGAUAAUUUUCAAAAAUAGCUAAAUUAAUCCUAAGUUUGCAAUAUUCUAAAGUUGCUAUUAAUGGAUAUUAUUUGGGAUUUGUUAGAAAAAGAAGAAGAAAAAUGGGAAAAAUAAAAAAUCUGAAUAGGGAACAAUAUAUUGGAGAGUGGAAAAGAAAUCUAUUUUUAAUGAGGAAUGUUAAAGGAUUAGGAAAGAUUGAGGGGAUAUUACUAUUGCAUUUUGAAAGUGAGACAUCAUAAAAGAAAAUCUCAAAUCUAAAAGUAAUAGAAGCCCAAAAAAUAGAUUGUGAAAUUAACCAACAUUAAAUCGAAAUGGUUUUCUUUAUUAAAAUAGCACUCUUCUAAUAUAAAGCAAACUCUCAUGGAAGAAGGCAUAGAAUAGUCUAUUCAUACUCUUCUCAUACUUAACUUCAUUAGUAAUUUUGCCUUUUGGCUACUUUAAAAGCAUGAAAAUGUUACAUGUUUUGUUUGCCUCAUAUUUUUAAGCACAUCCAAGUUGAUUUUUAAAACUCAUUUGGACUGCCACGUAAGACUGUUGUUAGGGAGGUAACGGAGUUUAACCAUAGAGUGACAACUUCGUAACAAAACGAUAACGUAAGUGACUAAAACAUAACAUUUCAAACAUAAGUGACUAAAAUAUAAACUGAGGCAAAUAAAAGUGACUACUUUUGUAGUUUACUCUAAAAAUAAUUUAUUUUCCUUGAAAUUUAAUUUUCCAUUAGGUUACUUUCUCAUAAGCAUGACAAUAUGAUUCUCAUGAUAAAAGAUGAGAGAGUAAAAGUUGAAAAGUUAAAAAGAUAUUAAAGAUAAAAUUAACCCUAUUUAGAAAAUACAUACAAUAUAAAUUAAAACAAUAAUUUUAAAAAUUAUUAAUUAAAUUAUUAUUAAAUAUUUAAUUCAAAGGUUUGUUAUUAAUAAAGUUUAUUGUAAAAUAUUAAAUACAUAAUAUUAGUUUUAUUUACUAAAGACAAAUUUGUAAAUUAUGUCAUAAUCUAAAUUUUUAAAAAUUUUAAUCAAUACUUUUUAAUAUAUACCAAAUAUUGUAAAAUAACUUUCCUAAUAAUCAUAUUCCAAAGAAUUACAUUCCGCUGACCAUUGCUUUCAAAUUUAAAGAUUCUAGCUUCUCAAAUCUAAAAUUUUCACCACAACCUUUGUUGCUGGUCCAUCAAGAAAAAGGAGAAAAAAUAAGUAUGUGAAAGAAAUUUUAAAUGGAAUCCUUGGACCUCUAUUAUUCCAAACCAAAUUGGAAGCAUAUACACAGGAGAAUAUUUCUGCCAUAAAUUCAUAAUUUUAUUUUAUUUUCAUUUAUCUUUUGCAUAAAAUCAUUAUAUAAGUGUUAAUUAAAUUAUAACUAGAGUGAUGGAGAAUUUGUAUUUAAGCUUUAAAUUAACACUAGUAAAGACGAGUAAAACUCAAUUUAAUUUGAAUUUCUUUAAAAAACAAUUGAUUUCUUUUAUCAAUUUUUUUGAAUUAAUCAAAUUGAUUAUUUAAUCUUCCCGAUCAAUUUGAAAUUCAUUUUUUGUCAAGAAGAAAAAAUGCAAUUCAAUUUUCCUAGUUAGAUUUGAGUUGAAUUUUUACAACUCGAAUAAGUCAAAUAAAAAAUUAGGGUAAAAUCCUUUAAGUCCUUAUCAAUUUAAAUUAAUGAAUAAAUUGAUCUCUUUCAAAAAAAAAUUUACUAAAAUUAAAAUAAACUGAAAAAAAUCAAAACGUUUAAUUAAAAAUUCCAAAAUUUUAUAAAUAAAUUCAAAAAAAAUUAUCAAAGUAUAUAAAAAUACUAUUUUUUUUAAAAAAUUCCAAAAUGAUAAAGCUAAGGUCUUAAAUAAGUAAUUUAUCAAAUCAAACUUAUUAUACUAAAUUAUCUUGUUUACUUCUCCUUAUCUAACGUUAUAACUGGUUUGAAACCAUGAUUUGGGUCAAAAUUUUGAAUUUGAAUUUGAAAAUACAAAUUAUUUUUUUUGGAUAACAAAUAAAGAAUUGGAUUUAAAUUUGUGCUAACCCAUGUCUAAUUUCAUAAUAAUUAAAUUUUAGAUUUUCCAUUUUAAAACUUAAAAUUUUCAAAAUCCAAGAUUAAUUAAAUUUUCACACUCUUAAAACCCAAAGAAUAAAUAAUUAAUUGUAUUUAUAAUAUAUCAUCAACGAAACUUCAUGCAUUUAAUUUAAUACAAUAUAAAUUUUCAAAAUUUUUAUUUAUAAAAUAAUUGUCAUAAUUUGAAUUUAUAACCCCUAAAUUUUAAUUUAUUCUUAAAUCCAUUUAUUUAGGUACAAAUCAAAUUAUACAAUUCAAUUCAAGUGUAAAUGAAGUAUGAGUGACUUAUAUAAAUAAUGCUAUAAAGUUUAUAAUUAUUUUUAAUAUUUCAACCCAAAAAUUUAUAAAAGUAGAAAGUUACAUAUGCUGGUCAAGGCAUAAUUAAGAAAAAAACACUUUAAAAGAAUAUACAAAAGUGAUAAGUUCUAUCUUAAAAGAAGUCAAUUUUUUCAUUCAAAAUCUAGGUCUUCAAAACCGAAUUGGUAGUCGAGUUGAUUAGGUUAUUGGCCCGGCCGGUUUGAUUAAAUAAAUAACUAAAAUUUCAUAAAAUAUUAAAAAAUAAAAAUAAAUUGCAAUUCAACCGGUUCAAUUGAUUUUUUUGUCCCAUUCAACUGGUCUAUACUAGUUCCUAGGUCAAUCAGUCUAGUUCAAUUCAAACAACCAUGUUCAAAAUUAUAUUUUUUAAUGCUUAAAAUUAAUUGAAAUCCAAAUCUAAAUUUGAACUAUCUAAACAAUAAAUUUGGAUUAAUUCCAAAUCUUAAAUUUCAAAUACUAUAAUUCUCAAAUAUAGAAUUUUAAAAUAAUGAAUUUAUAAAUUAUAAAUUUCAAAACUAAAAUUUUGAAGUCCAAUCUAAAUUCAAAUUUCAGUUCCCAAAGGUUAGCUUAAAUUGUUUUUAAAUAUAUAGUCUCAAAUUUAUGUGUUUUAACAUAAAAUUUAAUCAUAUUAUCAAGGUUUAAAUAUGACUUGCUCAAUUUUUUUAAUUUAACUUAAAAUGAAUUUAUUUAUCUUGAACUUCAUUCCAUUGGAUCUAAUUUGAAAAUUUUUCUAAUCAAAUUAAAAUGAUAAAACAAGAUAUGUGAACUCAAUUAGCUUAAAAUUCUUUCACUCAAAUCCAUGAAAUGCUCACUCUUAAAUACUAGUCUUGAAUUUGAUGUUUAGAUAAGCAUUGAUAUCUUUUGUUACCUUUGUUGAUGUAACGUACAUGUGGAUAAGUACGUGAAUGACAUGUCAGCAUUUAAUUAAUUUGUUAAAUUUAAAAAAUAAUAAAAAUAAUUUUUUUAUAUUUUUUAUAUUUUAAAUUUUUAAAAAUAAUCUUUGUAAUUUGUUGAAUUUUUAAAAUUAAAAAAAUAAUUAAUGCUAACGUGAUAUCUACAUGGCGAUCCACGUACAUACCACGUCAGUAAAGUUAAAAUAAAGUUAAUAUCUUCAUCUAUUUUGGGGUGAUUUGAUAAAAAAAAAACUACAAAUUUAAGGGCUAAAAAAGAUAAAAAUAAAUAAAUGAAGAGUUAAAAUAACACUUUUUAGAGUUAGAGGAUAAAAAAAUCAAUAUGCCAAAGAAAAAUAAUCAUCUGUUAAUAAUCAAUAUGGAAUUUGUCAUUAAUAUUUUCAUUAACUGUAAUUGGUUAUUUAUAAAAUUAUUUUUAACUUUUUGCAUUCAUAAAAAUCACAUAAAAAAUUAAGUUUAGAAAUGAAUUAAAUACAAAAACCCGAAAAUCAAUAUCUUGUUAAUCACUUCUUCUUUUUUUUGAGAAUAUCUUGUUAAUUGUACUUAAAAUUUAAAAUUAAUUAUUUAAUUAUAAUCUAUCGAAAUAUUUACACAAAAACAAUUUUAUUGUUGAAGUGAGUUAAAAUUAAAAAUUCCCACAAUAUCCAAAGUAAAGGACUUUAAUUAUUAGUAGAAUAUAGUUUCUUUAACAAUUUGGAUCAAGGGUCCAUUAAUUGUUUAACUUGAAUAUGUUGCUUUAUUAAUAUUCAUUGCAAAUAUUUUUUUUUCUCAGCAAACAAAUUUACGAAUGUUUGACAUGUUUGAUGAUUUGUUUUUUUCUCAGGAAAUAAACUUACUAAAACUCUUUGCAAAUAGAUCUUUUUAGCUCUAAAAACUUUGCAUAAUAAUUUGUUUUAAGUAAAUAUGACAUGUUUGAUUAUGUUGAUGUUAUUUUUGGUGUCAUGUUUUAACUAAUUUUUAAUGUUAUGUUAUUAUCAUAUCUCAAAUAAAUUUACAUAUCGAUUGAAUGAUUCAUUUGAUCCAAUUUAGAUUGGAAUUGGAUAGUUUUUAGUUUAAUUAAUUGUUUGACAUGAUGAUUUUAUUUAAUAUAAUAUAAUUUAUUUAGCGUUAUUGGUUUUUUUAAGUUAUUAAACAUUAUUGUUAAAAGAUUAAAUUAUCAAGGAAGAGAAUAAAUCUUGUUUGGAAUACCUAAGGCUGAAGGGGUCAUGAUUUUGUUAAUGGAGUUAGUUUUCAUAACUUCAUCAAAAAAGACCUCUAUUAUUAUUAUUUACCAUAACGAACCAGCAUCUCACAAAAUAAAAUGUGAUUUAUUAAUUUCUAAUGGUUUUGCUAGAAAAGGAAUAUUUUCCACACUGGUCCUACAUAUUAACACUUGUAAACUUUAUGUAAAAUAAUAAUAGUGUCUUGAAAUGUUAUCAUAUAAAUAAAUCUGUCGAAAGCAACACCUUAUUAUACAGGCGAGCAAAAUUUGAUUUGAUUCGAAAAACUCGGUAAAAAAUUAAAUUUUGAAUUAAAUAGUUCAAAUUAAUCGAGUUAUUCGGAUCAACUCGAAUAAAAAAUCAAAUUUUUUAGUUUAACUUGAAUAUAAAUUACACAAUUCGAGUUAUUGAAAAUAUGAAUAAAAAAAGAUAAAACUAUGUCGUUUUGAUAAAUGUUUACUAACUUCUAAAAAUCAAAACCAUUAAACUAAAAGACAAAACUACAUCAUUUUGAUAAAUGUUUACCCAUUAAGUUAAAAGGAAAGACCAUUCUAUUGUUUUUAUAGUUAAAUAAUCUUGUACUUCGUCUCCUAGUUAAAUAAUCGGCCCAUAUAAGCGCAACAUUGAGUAUAAAUAAUAGGAUUCGUUAACUCAACUCGACUUGACUCAAAAUUUUUUGACUCGAUUCGAUUCGAUUCAAAAAGAUUUCAAAUUGAGUUCGGUUACAAAAAUAGGAUUUGUCAACUCGAUUAACUCAAAAAUUUUUUAUUCGAUUUGACUCGACUCGACUCGACUGAAUGUUCACCCUGUCUAAUGAUGCCUUUUUGAUUGGAGUAAAAAGAGAGAAAAUUCAACUCAAAUUGGAUAUAUAUAUAUAUAUAUAUAUAUAUAUUGUAAAAGAAGAAAAGUUAAAAGGAGUCGAGAAUUUUUUUUUUACUCUAUUUUUGUAAUAUCCAAUUUGAAGAAAAUUGAGAUGAAAGUAAAAAUGUUAUAAUUUGUAAAAUAUCAUUUAAGUUCUUUACAUAUUUUAUUAGGUGGUUCUUUGUUUUUUUUUUUAAAUUUGUAUUCAACUAUUCAAUUCACGUUUACUUAUAAAGGACAUCUUACGUACAUGCCACAACAAUUGAUACAAAAUAAGCAGUAUUUUUGUUUUAUGAAUAGUGUGGCAUCCGCCCCAAACAAGCUUCAAAAAUCCAAUAGCUAAGGAUUUACACGUAAAUAAACAAUGGUAGGUAAACAUUUAAUGCUUGGUAAGUUUAAAUAAAAUUUACUAUACUUACCUUGGUUAUAGGUGAACAUGUUAAAUGCCAAGUGAGCUAAGCACAAAAUCUAGCUAAACAAAGCACCUAACAUUACAAGGCAAGGAAAACAUAUGUAAGCAUAUAUGCUCAUGUGUCAAAUAUCAUAACCACAACAAAAAAACAUCAUGAAAUCGUAUCAUUUCUUAUAUGAUAAUAUAACACCCCAAACCCGACCUAGACGUUAUGGCCAAAUCUGGAAUGUUACGAAGUAGGGUUAAGAAUCCAACCUUAUCAUGUUAAAAACCUCGUAUACUUUGUUAUUUGAAAAGUCCACUUAUUCAAAAUCAUGUUAUUAUAUUUUUGAAAACCGAGUUUAUUUUCUAAAAAUGAUUGUUCGUAUAAAACAGUUGUUUUUGUAAACCAUUUUGUUGAACGUUGCAGGACAAUUCAAAAGCAAAUCUAAAUCCAAAAUUAAAACCAAACAGUCUAGAGAGUCCCAAAAUUACAAAACUUUCAAAUUAGACCAGAAAUUUAAAUAAACAUUUUGUGAAAACAAAAUUUACGGAUGUGUGGUCACCAUUGGCCUCCAUAGCACAAACCCGCCUAAGCCUAAGGAUUACCUGAACAGAUCAGACAAACAGAGAGUGGCUUUUUAAGAAAACACAGUGUGUAACUCUAUAGAAACAUAAAUUCAGACUCUAUAGCAUAGCAGAGCAGAUACAAACAUAAUUUCUUACUGAAUCAGAUUAUCGACAGAAUCGGACAGAAUCGUAUAUGCAUAGUCCUACCUCCAACCUCUAUACACCAACUCUGACCAUCCCAACACACCACGUGGGGUAUAAAGCACCCACCCAGCCUUACACACCACAUAGUGUCCGAAUGACACUUAUCAGAAUAAAUCGCAGCCAUGUUGCCAGUAUAUUGGCGAAAUAUCGCCUCACAUAUUACUUUCUCCAAUUAUACAUAACCCGCCUUAUACACAGAUACAAAUAAAUAGAAUAACAGAUAAUAUGCGUGCUUAUACAUAACAAACAUUAUACACGUAUAAGUGUGACAGAACAAAUCAUACAUACUAUAUCUCAUAAAUCUCAUAUAAACAUUAUUUAAACUAUUUUCAAUCCAAUAGAGUGACAUGUCUCAAGCUUAAGGGUUUGUAUUACUCAUAUUGACCCUACGGAAGGCCCAUAGGUGAUCGAAAUGACGCAUGCGACCUUAAGAAGACAUUCUGAAAUUUAAGCCCACAUGUCUGUGUGGGCCCAUGCGCCCAAAUAGGCUUAGGCAGUGUGUCACAUGGCGACACACACAUCGGUCACACUACCGUGUGUCGCACAUGGCCUACCACACGGCCAGGCGCACGCACAUGUGGCCUCGACUGGCCAAAUUUUUGGCUUUCACUGAUCAUCAUUUUCUCAUGUUUUCGUUACACACUUGGUUGGUUUUUUUAUGUGAAAGCAAUUCCAAGACCUCCGAAAUCUAAGAAACAACAUUCCAAAGACUAUUUUAGCAAUUAAUUUACAAAUUCAACACGACUAAACUGAACAACACAUACAAACUUACCACCAACGAACACAAUCACACACAAAUUAGACCGUUGGAGCGCAAUCCUCUACUUCACAACAUUCUCCUAAACGCAGAACCCACUAAUCAAUGGCUACAAAUUAACAUCACUAGCAUCCCAUAAUUCUAAACGCUAAAGAUAAGCAAAGCUCUACUUACCAAGCCGAAUGAAGAACCUGAAAAAUCUAAGUUACAACAAUUGAACGUAUGAUUCGCGAACAAAAUCAAAAGAAGAAAAAAUUGUAGAAAGGGGAAAAAAAUCAGAAAGGGGAAAAGGAUUUUCGAGAAAACAAAAAUAAAACAAAAUAAAAUAAACAGAAUAAAAAUAACAUCAUAUCCCAACUUCCACCACUAACCAAUAACCCCAUCAAAACCGAUCAACUACACUCAUUCAACUACCUCAGAAUUCUAACUCCAUCUAACUUCUACUACUCAACCGACACAUACUCACAGAAGUAAAAAUAAAAUCUUUCACUCACACGGAGGUUCGAACACAAGACUGUAGGGUAAGCUCACACCUUACCACUUGAACCAGUAAGCUCAUUCUGAUAUGAUUUAAUCAAAAAUAUAACAAAAGUCAAACCACGAUAGAUAAAGCUAAGAUCAAAAGUAGAAUUUUCCAAGAGUAUGACUUGAACCCAAAACCUCAAACAUACAAUCAGAACACUUAGCCACUGAAAGAGAUACAUGCUUAAUGACAGAAUUCACAAAAACAAAGUUAAAUAAAUCAGGGAGUUACAACUCUACCCUCUAAAAGAAAUUUCGGCCUCAAAAUUUACUUGAUUCAAACAUAUGUAGAUACUAUUGACGAAUCGAGUCUUCAAGUUCCAACGUGACUUCCUCAAUGCUAUGAUUUUGCCAUAGAACCUUAACUAACAGAAUAGACUUCUUCCUCAGAAUUUUCACAUUUCGAUCUAAAACUUGAACUGGUUCUUUCUAAAAUGUCAAAUCUGGUCUAACCUCAAUCUCCUCAAUAGAAACAACGUGAGAUGGGUCAGACUGAUACUGCCUCAACAUAGACACGUGAAACACAUCAUGGAUACAAUUUAGCUCUAGAAGUAACUCCAAAUGAUAAGCAACAAGUCCCACACGCUUCAGAAUCUGAUACGACCCAAUGAACUUAGGGCUCAACUUGUCUUUCGUCCAAACCACAGAACCUUCUUCCACAGAGACACUUUAAGCAAGAUGAAAUCACCUACAAAGUACUCAAUGUCUCUCCUUUUCAGAUCUGCAUAAGACUUCUGUCUAUCAAAAGCAGCCUUAAGAUGAUCCUGAAUCAAUCUGACUUUGUCUUCAAUCUUGAAAACCAACUCAAGACCCAAAACCCGUCGUUUACCCAACUCAGUCCAAAAUAACGGAGUACGACACUUAUGACCAUACAAGGCCUCGUCAAGUGCCAUCUGAAUGUUAGACCAGAAACUAUUAUUAUAGGCGAACUCAGCUAAUGGAAGAAAAUAUUCCCAACUACCUCAGAAAUCAAUCACACAACUUUAAAGUAUAUCCUCCAGUAUUUGAAUCAUUCUCUCAGAUUGACCAUCUGUCUAAGGAUGGAACGCAGUACUAAAGUCCAAUCUCGAAACCAGAGCCUCAUGAAGAUAGGGCUAUUAAAGGGAUCAAUGGAUAGUUGGAUAGCACCGUAACCCUCUAUUUAGGAAGAUAGGAACCAGUCGCUAUGAAGGGGUGAACGCCACACUCAAAGAGUGAUAAGUUCAAAAUGGAGAUAGAAUGACGCCACUAGCAAACUAGAUAAAUCAAUUCGAUUCACCAAGAAUAAUGAGAGUUGAACAACUCACAAAUAUGUUAUAUUUUAUAAAAGGAUCAAAGUUAAGUAAUCUUCCAAAUGUUUACAAACAGCUAUUUAUAGGAAACUAUAAAAGAAGAUGAAUGACCAACAGUCAGCCAUUAAUGUAGUUCAUGUACACAAACCAUAGAAUGAACCGAAUGGUUCAUGAACUCCCUUAAAUGCAUAUAAAUGGUUGUUCACUCCCUUUUGUUGGUUCAUGGACGUUCAUCCCUUGUAUUGGUAUGUAUUUGGACAUUUAUGCUCCUCAUUGAAUGAUAUUUAUGCAUGAACUUUAACUUGAAGAGUCACAUUCUUCCUCCCUUUACUGUGCAUGAAUUCUUAGAAUAAAGGAAAGCUUCAAGUGCCUUGUAUGAUCACCAAAAGUCUCAUUCAUCUCCUUGGGUCGUUCAUGCACUUGUAUGGAACAUGUAUUCUCAUAAAUAGGUGCUUUAAUGGCAUGUAGGUUCAUGAACUGGUUACAUGCAUCUUGCAGAUUCAUCCUCCAUGAUGUUCAUGCAUGUUACCAUUCAUUGUGCCGCAUUAAUUGUUGAAUUCUUUCCCCUUGGACGUGUAUGCAUGCUUAGCCAUGAAGAAACUCCAUGUUCCAUGAAUUGGCCACCUUUAACUCCUCUCUAUCCCCUUUGACGAAUGUAUAAUGCAUGGGACAUACAUUUCUAUUAAUGACGCCAUAAUGAGAUUGUUGGUUCAUGAAUUUGAUGAAUGGAUCUUUGAAGUUCAUUCCCCACUUGGUGCAUGUAUAUUCUCAUUCAAUGUGUCAAAUUUAUGAGGCACAAAACCCUUGGUUUGUUCAUGAAUUCUUCAUUAAGAAAUGCAUUAAGACAUGUACUUGGCCCUUCCAUACGAACAGUCACAUGUAUCUUCAUAAUGGUAUGAAUUUGUAGGUUUUAUGAAUGUUCCUUCUUAAAUUAGUCCAACGAAUCUAGAAAUGGUGCAUGUAUAUCCAGCCGAAUGUUUAAUAACCUGCAAGACAAGUUUAAAACCUAAUUAAAACUCCAAUAGGACAAACUAAAAUCACAAAUUAAAUGUGUAAUAAGCUAAGACACAAUUAUGAUUUCUAACUAAAACAUGCAUUAAUGUUGUCCAAAUUAGAACAUACUUAAUAGGAAAACUUAAAACACGAUUUUAAUGUAUAAUAAUCUAAGACACAAUUAAUAGACUUAAACAACUAAAACAAUCAGACAUGUAAUAAUGCUGUAGGGAAUUAAAACAUAGUUAAUAUGAAUAAAGUAACUAAGAAUGUUUAAGUCUUAUUCAGCAGCUAAAUUAGCUAGCUAAAUUGUAAAUCGGAUUGAAGUAAAAUGCAAGGGCACUUGACGAGCACUCCCAAGCUCGAUUGGUUGAAGCCACUUCCCAAAUUUGUCCUACUAAAGCUGAAAUUACUUCUUGAAUUGCUUGGAUUAAACUCGAGUAAUUGGACCAGUUGGUAGCUCGAUUGGAUCAAGAACGGAUUCGGUUGAGCCCUUAGGCGAGUUCGUAUCAAAAACCAUCCUUGGAAACAUAAAACCCCAUCACUAUUCAACCUAAAAUCAGACGUACUACCAUCCUCUAUUUGACGGAAUCGUAGAACCAGAUAUUCAUCCCCUAACUGUUUAUCCCGAAUCUAAUCAAUCCAAGUCAGCUUAACUUGCAACAUAGCUAGUAGACUCUCAUCAUCAAACAGACUUAGGUGAGCAAACAUCACUCUUAAAUCAAGCAUUUCUCUACGACUAAAAGCAUCAACCACCAUAUUGGCUUUACCGGGAUGAUACUCUAUAGUGCAGUCGUAAUCCUUGAGCAGCUCAAUCCAUCUACGCUGCCUAAGGUUCAAAUCCUUUUGAGUAAGAAGGUAUUUAAGGCUCUUGUGAUCGGUGUAGAUGACACACCUCUCACCAUACAGAUAGUGCCUCCAAAUAUUUAAGGUAAAAACUACGGUAGCCAACUCGAGAUCGUGUGUCGGAUAAUUCCCAUCGUGUGACUUAAGCUAUCGAGACGCAUAAGUCAUAACCUUUUACCAUCUUGCAUUAAAACACAUCCCAAACCAAUAUGUGAUGCACCGUUAUAUACCACGAACUCCUUAUUAGAUUUAGGCUGUAUCAAAACAAAAGCCUGAGUCAAAACAGAUUUGAGCUUCUCAAAGCUUGAUUGCUGCUAACCAGUCUAGAAAAAAGGAGCGUUCUUACACAAAAUCUUUGUCAGAGGAGUUGCAAUUAACGAGAACCCCUCGACAAACCUCCGAUAAUAACCCGCAAGGCCCAGAAAACUGAAGAUCUCCAAAACAUUCUUAGGCUAUGUCUAAUCAAGUACUGCCUUAAUCUUUCUAGGAUAAACUCAAAUCCCCUAAGCAAAAACCACAUGCUCGAGAAACAUUACUUCUCUCAACCAGAAUUCACACUUACUCAACUUCGCUUAGAGCUAUUUCUCUCGAAGUAUUUGAAGAACUAUUCUAAAAUGUUCAUCAUGAUCAUCAUCGGUCUUAGAGUACACCAGAAUAUUGUCAAUGAAAACUACGAUGAUUUGAUCCAAAUAUGGCUGGAAAACCUGGUUUAUUAGAUCCAUGAAUGCAACCGGAGCAUUCGUCAAACCAAAGGGCAUGACUAGGAACUCGUAGUGCCCAUAACGAGUCUUAAAAGUUGUCUUAUGAACAUCAACUUCCUUAACAUUAAGCUAAUGAUACCUAGAACGAACCGAAGCCCCGUGAAACUGAUCAAAUAGGUCGUCGAUCCUUGGAAGUGGGUACUUAUUCUUCACAGUUAGCUUAUUCAAUUGUCGGUAGUCGAUGCACAUCCUCAUAGUACCAUCCUUUUUCUUUACGAAUAAAAUCGGUGCCCCCCACAGAGACAAACUAAGACGGAUAAAUCAACGAUCCAAAAGCUUUUAAAGCUGAGCCUUUAGCUCCAUAAGCUCCUUCAGUGCCAUAUGAUAAGGAGGAAUAGACACCGGAGUUGUACUUGAUAAAAGCUCAAUGUUGAACUCAAUUUUUUUGAUUCAGAGGGAAACCCGAUAAUUCCUCAGGGAAAACAUCCAAAAAUUCCAUCGUUGUUCUGAUGUUCUCAACAGAAGAGUCCAAAGAAACUGAAGCACUUACAUAGGCCAGAGACGCUUUACACUCUUUUUGAACUAGUGUUUUAGCCACAAGAGCAGAGAUUACAUUGGAUAAGUAAUCUCAACGCUCGUCGAUCACAACUGCUUUUACAUCACACUUAGAUCUCAGAACUACCCUCUUGGUUGCACAAUCCAAACUGACUCGAUGCUCUACAAGCCAGUCUAUACCCAGAAUCAAAUCAAAUUCUCUGAACGGUAGCUCUAUCAGAUUUGCCGGAAACACAACCUCUUGUACUUCUAGCGGUACUUUCCUAUACAGUCUGUUUACCAGAAUAGAUUUACCUAGCAGACUCAAUAUAGAAAUCUCAUCAGAAGUACUCUCAAUAGUAAUUCUCAAGUUUUCAGAGACAGAACUAACUAUGUAGGAGUGCGUUGACCCUAUGUUUAUCAGUGCAAUAUAAGGAACAUGAAAAAUAAGAAACGUACCUGUAAUCAAAUCAGGGGCGUCUCUGUCCUCACGGUGUCGAGUAGCAUAUACAAGCUAAGCUGCUUCACCUCAAUCUGAUUAGCAUCUUUGCUUAGUGCUCUCUUUCCCCUACUCAUACCAUUACCACCCCUAUCCAAACCACAGCACCUAGACGGCUGUUAAACUGCCCUCUUAGGUUGAACGAUACCGAAACUGGAGCUUGCAUUUGAUCAGAACGCUGUGGGAAAUCUCUAAUACGAUGCUCUAACGACCUACAUCACAAACAUGCCCCAACCUCCUCCAGCACUCACCCGGAUGGCGUCUACCACAACCACCGCAUGGCUGAACCACAACAAGAGCAACUGGAACUCCAACCCUAAAAGGCCCCUCAGGUCUGGCUUGUUUCUUAGGCCUCUGAAUAGAAUUAGAUGGCUCUGAAUACCUCUUAUUCUUGCCCCUCUCUCGGUCCCUAUUCUAGCGCUCAACGCGCUUAACCUCUUUGGUGAUCUUCGCCCUGUCCACUGGAACUGCGAACUUUCGCUCCCUCUGCAGAGCUAUCAAAACUCUCAGACUGUCUCCCAAACCAUUUUCAAAAAGAAUACAUUUCUCAUAUUCAGAUUCCAUCAUCCCUCGAGCGUAGCAGCUCAAUCUCAGAAAUUUGGCCUCAUACUCGGCCACUGUCCUGUCUCUUCGAUUAAGAUUCAUGAACUCACGUCUGCGAGUAUCUACAUAGCUCGCCCCCACAUAUUUUCUUUGAAAGACGAUCUUGAAAUAUUCCCAAUUAACCUGAUCCGGCUGAGUACCCUCCUCAAUCGAUGACCACCACUGGUAUGCCUUGUCACGAAGCAGAGAUACUGCACCGUUCAGUUUUUGCUCAGGAGUGGAAUCAAUAUCAUUCAUUAUUCUUUCUGUAGCCUCCAACCAGUAUUCGGCUAUAGUCGAAGUGACUCUAGUGACGCCCCUAAACAACUCAACAUCAUUAGAUCGGAGUCGUUCAGUUACCGACCCAUGUCCCCCAAAACCAGAAUGGGUCCAGCAACCCUCUCCAACACUCUUAGCAUGGCUUAGGGCAGUAUGUUGUCCCCAGCUGAGUGACUUUGAGACCCGGUCUUAGUAGUAGGUGUUGUCGGUGUCUCGCUCGUAUCUAAAUUAGGCAUACUGCUCAUCGAAAAAGACUCAGCUCGAGUCUCUCUGCGAUGUCCGCGGGGCCCACGAGUACAAUUGCCACGCGUUUCACGAGCACUCCUCGUGUUCAAAGUUUUAUUUGCAUUACGAAAUUUUAUGAACCAGUUUCAGUAUUUAUUAGCAAUAUUUUAUGGUUCAAACCAUUUAUCAGAAGUAGUUCAGAAAGUUCAGAAAGUUUAGAGUUUUCAAUCUCUAACUAACUAUAUACAGUUUGAGACAGUUAUGAGUGUUCUAACUACAUUAUUUCUAAGUUAGAAGUACUUACAGGAUCAGUGCUGGAGACUCGGUAUACCACAUACUUACUUCAAAAAUAAACUUUACUCAAAAAAUAAUUACAAUUAAAAUUUUGAACCCAAAAUUUCACAGCCCGCGUUUUGUAACCUGACUCUGAUACCAUUAAAUGUAACACCCCAAACCUGGCUUAGACAUUAUGCCUGAAUCUGGAAUGUUACGAAGUACGGUUAAGAAUCUAACCUUAUCAUGUUAAAAACCUCGUAUACUUUGUUAUUUAAAUAGUCCACUUAUUUAAAAACAUGUUCUUAUAUUUUUAAAAAUCGAGUUUAUUUUCUCAAAAAUGAUUAUUCGUAUAAAACAGUUGUUUUUGUAAACCAUUUUUGUCGAACAUUGCAAGAAAAUUCAAAAGGAAAUCCAAAUCCAAAAUUAAAAUCAAACAGUCUAGAGAGUCCCAAAAUUACAAAAAUCUCAAAUUAAACCAGAAAUUUAAAUAAACAUUUUAUGAAAACGAAGUUUACGAACGUGUGGUCACCACUGAGCCUCCAUCUCACCGACCCGCCUAAGCCUGAGGAUUUCCUGAACAGAUCAGACAAACAGAGAGUGAGUUUUUAAGAAAACUCAGUGUGUAACUAUAUGGAAACAUAAAUUCAGACUUUAUCGCAUAGCAGAGCAGAUAGAAACAUAAUUUCUUUACAGAAUCAGAUUAUUGACAGAAUCGUAUAGAAUCAGAAAUGCAUAGUCCUAGCCCCAUCCUCUACACACCAACUCCGACCAUCUCAACACACUACAUGGGGUAUAAAGCACCCACCUAGCCCUACAUACCACAUAUUGUCCGAACGACACUUAUUAGAAUAAAUCGCAGUCAUGCUACUAGCAUAUUGGCGAAAUAUCACCUCACAAAUUAAUUUCUCCACAUAAACAUAACCCACCCCAUACACAGAUACAGAUAAACAGAAUAACAGAUAAUAUGCAUGUUAAUACAUAACAGACAUUAUACAAGCAUAAGUGUGACAGAACAGAUCAUACAUACUAUAUCUCAUAAAUCUCAUAUAAACACUAUUUAAACUAUUUUCAGUCUAACAGAGCGACAUGUCUCAAGCUUAAGGGUUUGUAUUACUCAUACCAACCCUACGGAAAGCGCACGAUAAAUUGGAACGACGCAUGUGACCAUAGGAAAACAUUUUGAAAUUUGGGCCCACAUGGCUGUGUGGCCCAUACGUCUAAAAUGGCCUUGUCCCUAGGCCCACACGGCCUAGCCCAUGACCACACACACCCGUCACAUGACACACACCGUACCACAUGGCUGGGCAUACGCCAGAUUUUUAGCUUUUGACGAUCAUCAUUUUCUCGCAUUUUUUGUUAUACACUUAGUUCAUUUUUUUAUGUGAAAGCAAUCUCGAGACCUCUGAAACUUAAGAAAUAGCAUUCCAAAGACUAUUUUCGCAAUAAAUUUACGAAUUCAACACAAGUAAACUGAACAAUGCACUCGAACUUACCGCCAACAAACACAAUCACACACGAAUUAGAUCGUUGGAGCGUAAUCCUCUGCUUCACAACCUUUUCCUAAAAGCAAAACCAACUAAUUAAUGGCUACAAAUUAACAUCACUAGCAUCCCAUAAUUCUAAAUGCUCCAUAGUCGAUUGGAACGACACAUGCAACCAUAGGGAAACAUUCUAAAAUUUGGGCCUACAUACCCGUGUGGCCCACACGUCCAAAAUGGCCUUGUCCCUGGGAUCACAUGGCCUAGCCUACGACCACACACACACCCGUCACAUGACACACGACCUACCACAUGGCUGGGCACACGCCUGUGUGGUGUCAACACGCCAAAUUUUUAGCUUUUGAUGAUCGUCAUUUUCUCGUUUUUGUUAUACACUUAGUUCAUUUUUUAUGUGAAAGCAAUCUCGAUACUUUGAAACCUAAGAAAUAGCAUUCCAAUGACUACUUUCGCAUUCAAUUUACGAAUUCAACACAACUAAACUGAACAACGCACAGGAACUUACCGCCAACGAACACAAUCACACACGAAUUAGAUCGUUGGAGCGUAAUCCUCUACUUCACAACCUUUUUCCUAAAAGCAAAACCCACUAAUCAAAUGGUAACAAAUUAACAUCACUAGCAUCCCAUAAUUCUAAACGCUCCAUAGUCGAUUGGAACUACACAUGCGACCAUAGGGAAACAUUCUGAAAUUUGGGCCUACAUGCCCGUGUGGCCCACAUGUCCAAAAUGGCCUUGUCCCUGGGCCCACAUGGCCUGGCCCACGACCACACACACACCCAUCACAUGACACACGGCCUACCACACGGCUGGGCACACGCCCGUGUGGCGUCGACACGCCAGAUUUUUAGCUUUUGACGAUCGCCAUUUCUUGUGUUUUUGUUAUACACUUAGUUCGUUUUUUAUGUGAAAGCAAUCUCAAGACCUCUAAAACCUAAGAAAUAGCAUUCCAACGACUACUUUCGCAAUCAAUUUAUGAAUUUAACACAACUAAACCGAAAACGCACACGAACUUAUCGCCAACGAACACAAUCACACACGAAUUAGAUCGUUGGAGCGUAAUCCUCUACUUCACAACCUUUUCCUAAAAGCAAAACCCAAUAAUUAAUGGCUAUAAAUUAACAUCACUAGCAUCCCAUAAUUCUAAACACUAAAGAUAAUCAAAGCUUUACUUACCAUGUUAAAUGAAGAACCCGAAAAACCCAUGUUGCAACGAUUGAACGGAUGAUUCACAAACAGAAUCAAAAGAAGAAAUAAAAUAAUUUUUACAAGGAAAGGGGAAAAAGAUUUUGGGGAAAACAAAAACAAAACAAAAUAAAAUAAAAUAAACAAAAUAAAAAUAACAUCAUAUCCCAACUUCCCCCACCAAAAUCGAUCCACUACACUCAUCCAACUACCUCAGAAUUCUAACUCCAUCCAACUUCUACUACUCAAUCGACACACACUCACAAAAGAAAAAAUAUCAUCCUUCGCUCACACAAGGGUUUGAACAUGAGACCUUAGGUAAAACUCACAUCUUACCACUUGAACCAACAAGGUCAUUCUAAUAUGAAUUGACUGAAAAUAUAACAUAAGUCAACCCACGACAGAUAAAGCUAGGACCAAAAGUAGCAGAAUUUUCCAAUAGUGUAACUUAAACCCAAGAUCUCAAACACACAAUCAGAACACUUAACUAUUAAAAGAGAUACAUACUUUAUGAUAGAAUUCACAAAAACAAAGUUAAAUAAAUCAGGGUGUUAUAGAUAAUAUAAAUUUCAAUUCCUUUCAAUGAACUACUCAUCUAUACCAUAAUAACUAUAUUUACAAAGGUUUAUACCAUAGAAUAACAAGUUCAUUUUUUAUUACACAAAUUCUUGUUCAAUUUAACGUUUCGUCAAAUGCAACCUUAGUUUCAUGAGAUUUUGUGAUAGUGAUUUUGACGGUGAUAUUGAUGAUAGAAAAAGCACCACUGGAUUUGUGUUUUUUUUGGGAGAUUGCUGCAUCUCUUGGUGUUCUAACAAGCAACCCAUUGUGACAUUUUCAAUUUGUGAAGUUGAAUAUGUGGCAACAACUUCUUGUACUUGUCAUGCUAUUUGGCUUAGAAGAUUGUUUAAAGAACUUCACUUGCCACAAGAAAGAGCAACCAAAAUUUGCAUUGAUAACAAGUCUGCACAAGCACUCGCAAAAAAUCCUAUGUUCUAUGAUUGAAGCAAACAUAUAGACACAAGAUAUCAUUUUAUCAGGAGCAUAUUGCCAAGAAGGAAGUGGAGCUUAACUUUAUAAAGACUCAAGAUCAAAUGAUGAAUAUUUUUACAAAACCUCUCAAGGUCAAAGAUUUUCGAAGAAUGCAUGAAAAACUUAGCGUAAUCAAGAAAAGUUCAAAUUAAAAGGAAGUGUUGGGUAUUAUAAUUUGAAUAUUCUAGAAUAUAUUUGCUCAUUUAUUUACAUGUAUUUAUUUAAUGGAUGUAUUUAAAGUGGAUGAAUUGACUAAUCAUACAUGAAUGUACUUAACUAGGAUACAUGAAUGUAUUGAAACCAAUAGUCAUCUACAACUACUAUAUAAAGAGUUGUAUGUGAUGAAAUUUAGUAAAAGAGUGUGGAAGGCACAAAAAUAUAAUACGAGUGAGUUCAUUUUCACAUUCCUUCCCAAGGUUGUUUCUUCCACCUCCUUCCAACAUAAUCAAACCUUAUGGCUGAAAAAGUUAUUGAGAGAUUCGGAUAUGAAACAAAAAGUAAGUACUCAAGUGUUCGUAGACAACCAACCUACAAUUUUCAUUGCAAAUGAUCUGUUUUUCUGAAUUAAAAUAAAACGCUUCAAAAUUAAAUUAUAUUUUCUGAGAGAAGUGUAAAAGGAAAAAGAUGUACAACUAGUUACUACAUCGCAGAAAGUCAGAAUGCAGAUAUUCUUUUAACUUUUGAUAUAUAUACCAUGAAAAAACGUUUAAUUUUUUUUAUCUUACUUCUUAAAUUUAAAUCCAUCCAAAGGUGUGAAUAACCAGCCAUUUUGAAGCUUCUAAUUAUUAACUCAUUUUUGUUAAAGUAGCCUUUUAACUUUAGAAAACACAAAGCAUGAGAUGCCAAAGCGACUAGCUAGGAUUAGAGAGAUAAAGUGUUCAGAAAGGCUAGAUUUUCAAAUGUUAAUCUCAUUAUAAGUUAAACUAAUGCCAAUAAUCAUUUGAAAGCAACAUUAAUUUUACUUUUCUCCCUUCGUUCUCCGAUUCCCCAUAGAUACGUAUAUAUAGGGAAGUCCCACAAAUCUUUUCUUUUUGCCAGUUGUGCUCAAGGCACUUUAAUGGCUAAGAAAGAUCUCAGUAUUGGGCAGUAAUAAGUUCCAAAUCAGAGAUAACAUUGGUUAGGCAUUAAGCAUUUUAAUUUCACUAUAAUUCCUGUUAAUGAAGAAUUGGAACCUCAGAAAGUUGAAAGAAUAAUUAGCAAGCCCUCUCCAUUUGUCCCUCCUUCCCUUUGUUUUACCCUUAAGAAAUUCCGUUUAAUCUUACUUUUUUUAUUAGGAAAUCAACCCUUGAAAAGUGAGGUUAGAGGGCUUCCCUAUCCUAAACUUCCUGUAUAUAUAGUCACCUAGCCCUCUAACCAUACAUGCAAGACAAAAAAAAAAAAAAAACACAAACUUCUAGUUGUUCUUGUAUACUGCAAAAACAAUGGCAUGUUCAAUAGAUCAUCUUAAGAAAGUUCCGACACAAGGGUUUCCCUUGAUGGAUGAGUUAUACGGCCUGCAGCUAGCUGAGAAGACUCACCGGAAAGCUCCUCUACCGAGAAAUCAGGAUCAUUAUCAUCAUCAGCAGAAGCUGGUACCACACCACUAUGUUUAUCAUGGACCUCAAGCUGUCACUGUUGUUCAACAGCCAGUUACCGGCAGCUAUCAUCAAAUCCAGAACAACCAAAACCAUGAAAAAUGGUAUGUUUGUCAAGUUUCCCAAGGUCCUAUAUGCAUCAAUAAGUAGCAAUGAUGCAGCUAGAUACUAUGGUGGGAUGCUACCUAAUGAUGUUAUAGGGCUUUGUUGAUUUAUGUAAUAGUAUUUGGUAGAUAGUAGAUAUAGAACUCCGUAGCCUGGUUAGUAACACGCAGGUAUUUUUCAUUAGUGUUUCACCAGAGCUUUUAGCAGCUUGAAAAUAAGCUACGCUUUGUGUAAGAUUAUGUAUUUUGUUUUGGUUCUGAAAUCUAUAUACUUAUGUUGAUAUCUUUCUUUUAUUACAAGUUUAUGUUUCACUCCCAUGUAUUCGUAACUUGGUUUUCAAUUUCGUUACUUACACACAAACGUUGUAUCGAAACUCUUUCACCUAUUAAGUUCGAUUGCUUCUG
rnacentral:lncRNA from 1 species